UAAGUCAGAUGUGAAAUCCCCGGGCUCAACCUGGGAACUGCAUCUGAUACUGGCAAGCUUGAGUCUCGUAGAGGGGGGUAGAAUUCCAGGUGUAGCGGUGAAAUGCGUAGAGAUCUGGAGGAAUACCGGUGGCGAAGGCGGCCCCCUGGACGAAGACUGACGCUCAGGUGCGAAAGCGUGGGGAGCAAACAGGAUUAGAUACCCUGGUAGUCCACGCCGUAAACGAUGUCGACUUGGAGGUUGUGCCCUUGAGGCGUGGCUUCCGGAGCUAACGCGUUAAGUCGACCGCCUGGGGAGUACGGCCGCAAGGUUAAAACUCAAAUGAAUUGACGGGGGCCCGCACAAGCGGUGGAGCAUGUGGUUUAAUUCGAUGCAACGCGAAGAACCUUACCUGGUCUUGACAUCCACGGAAGUUUUCAGAGAUGAGAAUGUGCCUUCGGGAAUCGUGAGACAGGUGCUGCAUGGCUGUCGUCAGCUCGUGUUGUGAAAUGUUGGGUUAAGUCCCGCAACGAGCGCAACCCUUAUCCUUUGUUGCCAGCGGUCCGGCCGGGAACUCAAAGGAGACUGCCAGUGAUAAACUGGAGGAAGGUGGGAUGACGUCAAGUCAUCAUGGCCCUUACGACCAGGGCUACACACGUGCUACAAUGGCGCAUACAAAGAGAAGCGACCUCGCGAGAGCAAGCGGACCUCAUAAAGUGCGUCGUAGUCCGGAUUGGAGUCUGCAACUCGACUCCAUGAAGUCGGAAUCGCUAGUAAUCGUGGAUCAGAAUGCCACGGUGAAUACGUUCCCGGGCCUUGUACACACCGCCCGUCACACCAUGGGAGUGGGUUGCAAAAGAAGUAGGUAGCUUAACCUUCGGGAGGGCGCUUACCACUCUGUGAUUCAUGACUGGGGUGAAGU
rnacentral:rRNA from 1 species